GACGAACCGAGCGAACGUUAUUCGGAAUCACUGGGCUUAAAGGGCGCGUAGGCGGGCUGUCAAGUCUGGGGUGAAAUCCCGCGGCUCAACCGCGGAACUGCCCCAGAUACUGACGGCCUCGAGGGAGGUAGGGGCAUGCGGAACUGUAGGUGGAGCGGUGAAAUGCGUUGAUAUCGAUAGGAACUCCGGUGGCGAAGGCGGCAUACUGGACCACAUCUGACGCUGAGGCGCGAAAGCCAGGGGAGCAAACGGG
rnacentral:rRNA from 1 species